rnacentral:rRNA from 1 species
CCUACGGGGUGCAGCAGUGAGGAAUAUUGGUCAAUGGCCGGAAGGCUGAACCAGCCAUGCCGCGUGAAGGUCAGUGCCCUAUGGGCGUUAAACUUCUUUUGUGCGGGAGCAAUAAUGGUCACGUGUGGCCAGACGAGAGUACCGUACGAAUAAGCAUCGGCUAACUCCGUGCCAGCAGCCGCGGUAAUACGGGGGAUGCAAGCGUUAUCCGGAUUUAUUGGGGUUAAAGGGUGCGUAGGCUGUGAGGUAAGUCAGCGGUGAAAUGCCGCCGCUCAACGGGGUGAAGUGCCAUUGAUACUGCCUUGCUGGAAUGCGGAUGCCGUGGGAGGAAUGUGUGGUGUAGCGGUGAAAUGCAUAGAUAUCACACAGAACACCGAUUGCGAAGGCAUCUCACGAAUCCGCGAUUGACGCUGAUGCACGAAAGCGUGGGUAUCAAACAGGAUUAGAUACCCCUGUAGUC